rnacentral:tRNA from 1 species
AUUUAGGUAGCUUAAUUUUAGAGCAUAGCAUUGAAGAUGCUAGGGUAAUUUAUUAAUUUCUAAAUA